GAUGAACGCUGGCGGCGUGCCUAAUACAUGCAAGUCGAGCGAACGGACGAGAAGCUUGCUUCUCUGAUGUUAGCGGCGGACGGGUGAGUAACACGUGGAUAACCUACCUAUAAGACUGGGAUAACUUCGGGAAACCGGAGCUAAUACCGGAUAAUAUUUUGAACCGCAUGGUUCAAAAGUGAAAGACGGUCUUGCUGUCACUUAUAGAUGGAUCCGCGCUGCAUUAGCUAGUUGGUAAGGUAACGGCUUACCAAGGCAACGAUGCAUAGCCGACCUGAGAGGGUGAUCGGCCACACUGGAACUGAGACACGGUCCAGACUCCUACGGGAGGCAGCAGUAGGGAAUCUUCCGCAAUGGGCGAAAGCCUGACGGAGCAACGCCGCGUGAGUGAUGAAGGUCUUCGGAUCGUAAAACUCUGUUAUUAGGGAAGAACAUAUGUGUAAGUAACUGUGCGCAUCUUGACGGUACCUAGUCAGAAAGCCACGGCUAACUACGUG
rnacentral:rRNA from 1 species